rnacentral:rRNA from 1 species
UACGGGGGGAGCAAGCGUUGUUCGGAUUUACUGGGCGUAAAGGGCGCGUAGGCGGUCAGCACAAGUCAAUUGUGAAAUCUCCGGGCUUAACUCGGAACGGUCAAGUGAUACUGUCGGACUAGAGUACAGAAGGGGCAACUGGAAUUCUCGGUGUAGCGGUGAAAUGCGUAGAUAUCGAGAGGAACACCUGCGGCGAAGGCGGGUUGCUGGGCUGAUACUGACGCUGAGGCGCGAAAGCCAGGGGAGCGAACGGG